GAUGAACGCUGGCGGCGUGCCUAAUACAUGCAAGUCGAGCGAACAGAUGAGGAGCUUGCUCCUCUGACGUUAGCGGCGGACGGGUGAGUAACACGUGGAUAACCUACCUAUAAGACUGGGAUAACUUCGGGAAACCGGAGCUAAUACCGGAUAAUAUAUUGAACCGCAUGGUUCAAUAGUGAAAGACGGUUUUGCUGUCACUUAUAGAUGGAUCCGCGCCGCAUUAGCUAGUUGGUAAGGUAACGGCUUACCAAGGCGACGAUGCGUAGCCGGCCUGAGAGGGUGAUCGGCCACACUGGAACUGAGACACGGUCCAGACUCCUACGGGAGGCAGCAGUAGGGAAUCUUCCGCAAUGGGCGAAAGCUUGACGGAGCAACGCCGCGUGAGUGAUGAAGGUCUUCGGAUCGUAAAACUCUGUUAUUAGGGAAGAACAAAUGUGUAAGUAACUAUGCACGUCUUGACGGUACCUAAUCAGAAAGCCACGGCUAACUACGUG
rnacentral:rRNA from 1 species